GGGUGAAUAGCUCAGUGGUAGAACGCUUGCCUAGCAUGCAUGAGGCCUUGGGUGCAACCCUCAGUGCCUCCA
rnacentral:tRNA from 1 species